GGAAAUUGGAAUAUAUUUUACUUUUUGGUGGAAAAUCAAUCAUGUCGAUGUCUGAUUCCGAUACAUCGUCGCAGGGAAGCGAUUACAAGAACUUCCGGCAAGUUAUACGUGACAGAUUACUAUAUGAAAUGCUCAGGUCUGCCAAGUCAAAAGACUCAAAAUCAGCAUGGAAGGUACUCAUCAUGGAUAAACUAACUGUUAAAAUAAUGUCAUAUGCUUGCAAGAUGGCAGAUAUCACAGAGGAAGGAGUUUCAUUGGUUGAAGACAUAUACAAGCGUCGGCAGCCGCUCCCAUCAAUGGAUGCGAUAUACUUCAUCCAACCAACAAAAGAGAAUGUAUUGAUGUUUCUAUCUGACAUGGCUGGGAAAUCACCUUUGUACAGAAAGGCAUUUGUUUUCUUUAGUUCACCUAUUGCUAAAGAGUUGGUUAAUCACAUAAAGAAGGAUUCAAGUGUUCUGUCACGCAUUGGUGCCUUGAGAGAAAUGAAUUUGGAGUUUUUUGCUAUUGACAGCCAGGGUUUUACCAC
rnacentral:misc_RNA from 1 species